ACUGCAUGGCUGAUUACGGUAUCCACCUUGAGAGUUCUGGCACUCAAUUAACUAAAAGAACAGCACUUCAAACAUACUUUCAGUCAAUUAGAGUUUAACCAUUCCAAGGAGGACCCUUCUUCAAAAUAGAUGUUGUGAAUUGGAAAAGUAAAAGAAACUGGAACCUGGAAGUCCUGCUGGACGACGUAUUGCUUAGGCCAUAUUCCCUCUUCCACCAGUAGAAAACAGCCUUUGACAUGGGAGAAAGAGCCCAGGAUCGGUUGAGGGGUAUCCAACUCCAGGCUCCUUACCUACUACAAGGAGGGAAGACCAGGACCACUCUUGUAGGCAC